rnacentral:rRNA from 1 species
CGCGUAGGCGGGAGAACAAGUCAGAUGUGAAAUGUGGGGGCUUAACCCUCAAGCUGCAUUUGAAACUGUACUUCUUGAGUAUCGGAGAGGCAGGCGGAAUUCCUAGUGUAGCGGUGAAAUGCGUAGAUAUUAGGAGGAACACCAGUGGCGAAGGCGGCCUGCUGGACGACAACUGACGCUGAGGCGCGAAAGCGUGGGGAGCAAACAGGAUUAGAUACCCUGGUAGUCCACGCUGUAAACGAUGAAUACUAGGUGUGGGGGGGACUAACCCCCUCCGUGCCGCAGUUAACACAAUAAGUAUUCCACCUGGGGAGUACGGCCGCAAGGUUGAA